CAUUGUGGUGAGACCCCCGUAUAUGGUGCGGACGCCCAGCGCUUUGUGAUACAUUUUCGAAGAGUCGAGUUGUUUGGGAAUGCAGCUCAAAUUGGGUGGUAAAUUCCAUCUAAAGCUAAAUAUUGGCGAGAGACCGAUAGCGAACAAGUACCGUGAGGGAAAGAUGAAAAGCACUUUGGAAAGAGAGUUAACAGUACGUGAAAUUGUUGGAAGGGAAACGCUUGAAGUCAGACUUGCUUGCCGAGCAAUCGGUUUGCAGGCCAGCAUCAGUUUUCCGAGAUGGAUAAUGGUAGAGAGAAGGUAGCAGUUUCGGCUGUGUUAUAGCUCUCUGCUGGAUACAUCUUGGGGGNCUGAGGAACGCAGUGUGCCUUUGGUGGGGGUUUCGACCUCUUCACACUUAGGAUGCUGGUGGAAUGGCUUUAAACGAC
rnacentral:rRNA from 1 species